CCUACGGGAGGCAGCAGUGAGGAAUAUUGGUCAAUGGACGAGAGUCUGAACCAGCCAAGUAGCGUGAAGGAUGACUGCCCUAUGGGUUGUAAACUUCUUUUAUAUGGGAAUAAAAUGUUCCACGUGUGGGAUUUUGUAUGUACCAUAUGAAUAAGAAUCGGCUAACUCCGUGCCAGCAGCCGCGGUAAUACGGAGGAUCCGAGCGUUAUCCGGAUUUAUUGGGUUUAAAGGGAGCGUAGGUGGAUUGUUAAGUCAGUUGUGAAAGUUUGCGGCUCAACCGUAAAAUUGCAGUUGAAACUGGUUUUCUUGAGUGAAGUAGAGGUUGGCGGAAUUCCGAGUGUAGCGGUGAAAUGCGUAGAUAUUCGGAGGAACACCGGUGGCGAAGGCGGCCAACUGGGCUUUAACUGACGCUGAGGCUCGAAAGUGUGGGGAGCAAACAGGAUUAGAUACCCGAGUAGUC
rnacentral:rRNA from 1 species